AUUGAACGCUGGCGGCAGGCCUAACACAUGCAAGUCGAGCGGAUGAGAGGAGCUUGCUCCUCGAUUCAGCGGCGGACGGGUGAGUAAUGCCUAGGAAUCUGCCCAGUAGUGGGGGACAACGUUUCGAAAGGAACGCUAAUACCGCAUACGUCCUACGGGAGAAAGUGGGGGAUCUUCGGACCUUACGCUAUUGGAUGAGCCUAGGUCGGAUUAGCUAGUUGGUAGGGUAAAGGCCUACCAAGGCGACGAUCCGUAACUGGUCUGAGAGGAUGAUCAGUCACACUGGAACUGAGACACGGUCCAGACUCCUACGGGAGGCAGCAGUGGGGAAUAUUGGACAAUGGGCGCAAGCCUGAUCCAGCCAUGCCGCGUGUGUGAAGAAGGCCCUCGGGUCGUAAAGCACUUUAAGUUGGGAGGAAGGGCUUACAGCGAAUACCUGUGAGUUUUGACGUUACCGACAGAAUAAGCACCGGCUAACUUCGUGCCAGCAGCCGCAGUAA
rnacentral:rRNA from 1 species